CGAAUGGUGCGAGAGUUUGUGAGGCGCCUCCGUGUGCCAAAAAUAGGGUGCGGGCACAGCCGCGUCCAAAAAUAACCGCCCGAAGGCCGGGGCGCCACGUUCGUCCAGCGGAAAAAGGCCACAAAAACGGGUGGGCUAUAGCCUUGGGGGGUGGGGCUGGCCAACUUUGUCCGCCGGACUCAGAAUGCCGCGAGACUUUGCGAGGGGCCUCCGUGUGCCAAAAAUAGGCCGCGGACAAAGCCGCACCCAAAAAUAACUGCCCGAAGGCCGGGGAGCCAAGUUCGUCCAGCGGAAAAAGGCCUCAAAAACGGGUGGGCUAUAGCCUUGAGGGGUGGGGCUGGCCAACUUCGUCUGCCGGAAUUGGAAUGCCGCGAGAUUUUAUGAGGGGCCUCUGUGUGCGAAAAAUAGGCCACGGGCAAAGCCGCACCCGAAAAUAACCGCCCGAAGGCCGGGGCGCCAAGUUCGUCCAGCAGAAAAAGGCCACAAAAACGGGUGGGCUAUAGCCUUGGGGGGUGGGGCUGGCCAACUUCGUCUGCCGGACUCAGAAUGCCGUGAGACUCUGCGAGGGGUCUCCGUGUACCAGAAAUAGGUUGCGGGCAAAGCCGCGUCCAAAAAUAACCGCCCGAAGGCCGUGGCGCCAAGUUCGUCCAGCGGAAAAAGCCCACAAAAACGGGUGGGCUAUAGCCUUGGGGGGUGGGGCUGGCCAACUUCGUCCGCCGGACUUGGAAUACCGCGAGACUUUACGAAGGGCCUCUGUGUGCCAAAAAUAGGCCACAGGCAAAGCCGUGUCCGAAAAUAACCGCCCGAAGACCGGGGCACCAAGUUCGUCCAGCGGAAAAAGCCCACAGAAACGGGUGGGCUAUAGCCUUGGGGGGUGGGGCUGGCCAACUUCGUCCGCCGGACUCGGAAUGCCGCGAGACUUUCCAAGCGGCCUCCGUGUGCCGAAAAUAGGCCACGGGCACAGCCGCGCGCAAAAAUAACCACCCGAAGGCCGGGGUUCGUCCAGCGGAAAAAGGCCACAAAAACGGGUGGGCUAUAGCCUUGGGGGGUGGGGCCAGCCCACUUCGUCCGCCGGACUCAGAAUGGCGCGAGACUUUUCGAGCGGGCUCCGUAUGCCGAAAAUAGGCAGCGGGCACAGCCACGCCCAAUAAUAACCGCCCGAAGGCCGGGGCGCCAAGUUCGUCCAGCGGAAAAAGGCCACAAAAACGGGUGGUCUAUAGCCUUGGCGGGUGCGGCUGGCCAACUUCGUCCGCCGGACUCGGAAUGGCGCGAGACUUUGCGAGCGGCCUCCAUGUGCCGAAAAUAGGCCACGGCCACAGCCGCGCACAAAAAUAACCGCCCGAAGGCCGGGGCGCGAAGUUCGUCCAGCGGAAAAAGGCCACAAAAACGGGUGGGCUAUAGCCUUGGGGGGUGGGGCCGGCCAACAUCGUCCGCCGGACUCAGAAUGGCGCGAGACUUUGCGAGCGGGCUCCGUAUGCUGAAAAUAGGCAGCAGGCACAGCCACGCCCAAUAAUAACUGCCCGAAGGCCGGGGCGCCAAGUUCGUCCAGCGGAAAAAGCCCACAAAAACGGGUGGGCUAUAGCCUUGGGGGGUGGGGCUGGCCAACUUCGUCCGCCGGACUUGGAAUACCGCGAGACUUUACGAGGGGCCUCUGUGUGCCAAAAAUAGGCCACAGGCAAAGCCGUGUCCGAAAUAAUCGCCCGAAGACCGGGGCGCCAAGUUCGUCCAGCGGAUAAAGCCCACAGAAACGGGUGGGCUAUAGCCUUGGGGGGUGGGGCCGCCAAUCUUCGUCCGCCGGACUCNNNNNNNNNNNNNNNNNNNNNNNNNNNNNNNNNNNNNNNNNNNNNNNNNNNNNNNNNNNNNNNNNNNNNNNNNNNNNNNNNNNNNNNNNNNNNNNNNNNNGAAAAUAGGCAGCGGGCACAGCCACGCCCAAUAAUAACUGCCCGAAGACCGGGGCGCCAAGUUCGUCCAGCGGAAAAAGGCCACAAAAACGGGUGGGCUAUAGCCUUGGGGGGUGGGGCUGGGCAACUUCGUCCGCUGGACUCGGAAUGCCGCGAGACUUUGCGAGGGGCCUCCGUGUACCAAAAAUAGGCCGCGGACAAUACCGUGCCCAAAAAUAACCGCCCGAAGGCCGGGGCGCCAAGUUCGUCCAGCGGAAAAAGGCCACAAAAACGGGUGGGCUAUAGCCUUGGGGGGUGGGGCUGGCCAACUUCGUCCGCCGUACUCGGAAUGGCACGAGACUUUGCGAGCGGCCUCCAUGUGCCAAAAAUAGGCAGCGGGCACAGCCGCGCCCAAAAAUAACUGCCCGAAGGCCGGGGCGCCAAGUUCAUCCAGCGGAAAAAGGCCACACAAAACGGGUGGGCUAUAGCCUUGGGGGGUGGGGCUGGCCGACUUCGUCCGCCGGACUCGGAAUGGCUCGAAACUUUGCGAGCGGCCUCCGUGUGCCAAAAAUAGGCCGCGGGCACAGCCGUACCAAAAAAUAACCACCCGAAGGCCGGGGCGCCCAGUUCGUCCAGCGGAAAAAGGCCACAAAAACGGGUGGGAUAUAGCCUUGGGGGGUGGGGCUGCCCAACUUCGUCCGCCGGACUCGGAAUGCCGCGAGACUUUUCGAGGGGCCUCCGUGUGCCAAAAAUAGGCCGCGGACAAAACCGCGCCCAAAAAUAACCGCCCAAAGGCCGGGUCGCCAAGUUCGUCCAGCGGAAAAAGGCCACAAAAACGGGUGGGCUAUAGCCUUGGGGGGUGGGGCUGGCCAACUUCGUCCGCCGUACUCGGAAUGGCACGAGACUUUGCGAGCAGCCUCCGUGUGCCAUAAAUAGGCAGAGGGCACAGCCGCGCCCAAAAAUAACCACCCGAUGGCCGGGGCGCCAAGUUCGUCCAGCGGAAAAAGGCCAGAAAAACGGGUGGGCUAUAGCCUUGGGGGGUGGGGCUGCCCAACUUCGUCCGCCGGACUCGGAAUGGCGCGAGUCUUUGCGAGCGGCCUCCGUGUGCCAAAAAUAGGCCGCGGGCACAGCCGCGCCCAAAAAUAACCACCAGAAGGCCGGGGCGCCAAGUUCGUCCAGCGGAAAAAGGUCACAAAAACGGGUGGGCUAUAGCCUUGGGGGGUGGGGCUGGAGUGGGGCUGCCCAACUUCGUCCGCAGGACUCGGAAUGGCGCGAGACUUUGCGAGGCGGCCUUCGUGUGCCAAAAAUAGGCCGCGGGCAAAGCCGCGCCCAAAAAUAACAGCCCGAAGGCCGGGGAGCCAAGUUCGUCCAGCGAAAAAGGCCACAAAAACGGGUGGGCUAUAGCCUUGGGGGGUGGGGCGGGCCGACUUCGUCCGCCGGACUCGGAAUGGCUCGAGACUUUGCGAGCGGCCUCCGUGUGCCAAAAAUAGGCCGCGGGCACAGCCGCGCCCAAAAAUAACCGCCCGAAGGCCGGGGCGCCAAGUUCGUCCAGCGGAAAAAGGCCACAAAAACGGUUGGGCUAUAGCCUUGGGGGGUGGGGCUGGCCGACUUUGUCCGCCGGACGCGGAAUGGCGCGAGACUUUGCGAGCAGCCUCCGUGUGCCAAAAAUAGGCCGUGGGCAGAGCCGUGCCUAAAAAUAACCGCCGAAGGCCGGGGCGCCAAGUUCGCCCAGCGGAAAAAGGCCAAAAAAAUGGGUGGGCUAUAGCCUUGGGGGGUGGGGCUGGCCAACUUCGACCGCCGGACUCGGAAUGGCGCGAGACUUUGCGAGCGGCCUCCAUGUGCAAAAAAUAGGCCGCGGGCACAGCCGCACCGAAAAAUAACCACCCGAAGACCGGGGCGCCAAGUUCGUCCAGCGGAAAAAGGCCACAAAAACGGGUGGGCUAUAGCCUUGGGGGGUGGGGCUGGCCGACUUCGUCCGCCGGACUCCGAAUGGCGCGAGAGUUUGCGAGGCGCCUCCGUGUGCCAAAAAUAGGCCGCGGGCACAGCCGCGCCCAAAAAUAACUGCCCGAAGGCCGGGGCGCCAAGUUCGUCCAGCGGAAAAAUAUCACAAAAAUGGGUGGGCUAUAGCCUUGGGGGGUGGGGCUGGCCAACUUCGUCCGCCGGACUCGCAAUUGCGCGAGACUUUGCGAGGCACCUCCGUGUGCAAAAAAUAGGCCGCGGGCACAGCCGCACCGAAAAAUAACCACCCGAAGACCGGGGCGCCAAGUUCGUCCAGCGGAAAAAGGCCACAAAAACGGGUGGGCUAUAGCCUUGGGGGGUGGGGCUGGCCGACUUCGUCCGCCGGACUCCGAAUGGCGCGAGAGUUUGCGAGGCGCCUCCGUGUGCCAAAAAUAGGCCGCGGGCACAGCCGCGCCCAAAAAUAACUGCCCGAAGGCCGGGGCGCCAAGUUCGUCCAGCGGAAAAAUAUCACAAAAAUGGGUGGGCUAUAGCCUUGGGGGGUGGGGCUGGCCAACUUCGUCCGCCGGACUCGCAAUUGCGCGAGACUUUGCGAGGCACCUCCGUGUGCCAAAAAUAGGCCGCGGGCACAGCCGUGCCAAAAAAUAACCGCCCGAAGGCCGGGGCGCCAAGUACGUCCAGCGGAAAUAUGCCACAAAAACGGGUGGGCUAUAGCCUUGGGUGGGGCUGGCCAACAUCGUCCGCCGAACUCGGAAUAGCGCGAGACUUUGUAAGGCGCCUCCGUGUGCCAAUAAUAGGCCGCGGGCACAGCCGCACCCAAAAAUAACAGCCCGAAGGCAGAGGCGCCAAGUUCGUCCAGCCGAAAAAGGCCACAAAAACGGGUGGGCUAUAGCCUUGAGG
rnacentral:lncRNA from 1 species